GAACUUUCUAACCGCAGCAGCACACAGCAAGCACUCGCUAUGUAUUCUUGCAACAAACGGAACAAUUAGCAAAGGCAUAUCCAGUGGCGGUCGGGCGGCUGACCUGGAGGAAGGUGUCGGAGACGGCGACGAGGAAGGUGGCGGCGGCCCAGAGGAAGGCCCCCAGCGCGAUGACGUGGGCGCGGUUGUGGCGCGACGCGGCGUAGGCCGCCACCGGGUAGCAGGCGGCCUGCACGAUGGAGCGGUACAGCGUGAGGGCGCCGAGCCCCGUGGGCGUGGCGUGCAGCGCGGCGCCCACCUCCCGGUACACCGCCGGCAGCAGCGCCUCGUCGGCGCGCUCCAUGAUGGACGCCAGGUUCACCAGCACCAGCGUCCGCCGCUUCUCCGGCGGCGGACCCAUUCUUCUGGUACCUGCACCCUCUCUCUCUCGCCUCUCCUGUUCAGGCCGCCGGACGCUCAGCUCCGGCUUGGGCUAUCGCUCCGCUCGGAAUGGCCGCCAUUAGUCAGCAACUCAGCAAGCAAGCAAGUAGCCAAGCCACCGGCGGGCGAUCUGGGUCUUCUCUCCUCGGGAGAAUUUUUAUAUUUACCGCUCGUCUUUGGUUCGAGUAUAGCCGUGUAGCAUAUGACACGUGGGCCAUCUUACAUGUGGGAUGUUAUGUCAGUGAUGGAGUCAGGUACGCUGGCAAGUUGGGCAAGCAGGCAAAAGCGACUAGCGACGAGCGAGCUAGGCGAGGUAGUUGGGGAGCUUCCCAUUGGUUGGUUAACUGAAACCCCAUGGGUCCCGACUUGUCAGUAACACAGGCAGAGCCUAUACAGGAGUUGGAUGCAGAGGACGGUGUCGCGCGAUUGUUUUUUUUUGGGUGAACG
rnacentral:misc_RNA from 1 species